UACGUAGGGCGCAAGCGUUAUCCGGAAUUAUUGGGCGUAAAGAGCUCGUAGGCGGUUUGUCGCGUCUGCCGUGAAAGUCCGGGGCUCAACUCCGGAUCUGCGGUGGGUACGGGCAGACUAGAGUGAUGUAGGGGAGACUGGAAUUCCUGGUGUAGCGGUGAAAUGCGCAGCUAUCAGGAGGAACACCGAUGGCGAAGGCAGGUCUCUGGGCAUUAACUGACGCUGAGGAGCGAAAGCAUGGGGAGCGAACAGG
rnacentral:rRNA from 1 species